rnacentral:rRNA from 1 species
CUAGCUACAGGCUUAACACAUGCAAGUCGAGGGGCAUCAGGAAGAAAGCUUGCUUUCUUUGCUGGCGACCGGCGCACGGGUGAGUAACACGUAUCCAACCUGCCCUUUACUCGGGGAUAGCCUUUCGAAAGAAAGAUUAAUACCCGAUAGCAUAAUGAUUCCGCAUGGUUUCAUUAUUAAAGGAUUCCGGUAAAGGAUGGGGAUGCGUUCCAUUAGGUUGUUGGUGAGGUAACGGCCCACCAAGCCUUCGAUGGAUAGGGGUUCUGAGAGGAAGGUCCCCCACAUUGGAACUGAGACACGGUCCAAACUCCUACGGGAGGCAGCAGUGAGGAAUAUUGGUCAAUGGGCGCUAGCCUGAACCAGCCAAGUAGCGUGAAGGAUGAAGGCUCUAUGGGUCGUAAACUUCUUUUAUAUAAGAAUAAAGUGCAGUAUGUAUACUGUUUUGUAUGUAUUAUAUGAAUAAGGAUCGGCUAACUCCGUGCCAGCAGCCGCGGUAAUACGGAGGAUCCGAGCGUUAUCCGGAUUUAUUGGGUUUAAAGGGAGCGUAGGUGGACUGGUAAGUCAGUUGUGAAAGUUUGCGGCUCAACCGUAAAAUUGCAGUUGAUACUGUCAGUCUUGAGUACAGUAGAGGUGGGCGGAAUUCGUGGUGUAGCGGUGAAAUGCUUAGAUAUCACGAAGAACUCCGAUUGCGAAGGCAGCUCACUGGACUGCAACUGACACUGAUGCUCGAAAGUGUGGGUAUCAAACAGGAUUAGAUACCCUGGUAGUCCGCACAGUAAACGAUGAAUACUCGCUGUUUGCGAUAUACAGUAAGCGGCCAAGCGAAAGCAUUAAGUAUUCCACCUGGGGAGUACGCCGGCAACGGUGAAACUCAAAGGAAUUGACGGGGGCCCGCACAAGCGGAGGAACAUGUGGUUUAAUUCGAUGAUACGCGAGGAACCUUACCCGGGCUUAAAUUGCAGUGGAAUGAUGUGGAAACAUGUCAGUGAGCAAUCACCGCUGUGAAGGUGCUGCAUGGUUGUCGUCAGCUCGUGCCGUGAGGUGUCGGCUUAAGUGCCAUAACGAGCGCAACCCUUAUCUUUAGUUACUAACAGGUUAUGCUGAGGACUCUAGAGAGACUGCCGUCGUAAGAUGUGAGGAAGGUGGGGAUGACGUCAAAUCAGCACGGCCCUUACGUCCGGGGCUACACACGUGUUACAAUGGGGGGUACAGAAGGCAGCUAGCGGGUGACCGUAUGCUAAUCCCAAAAUCCUCUCUCAGUUCGGAUCGAAGUCUGCAACCCGACUUCGUGAAGCUGGAUUCGCUAGUAAUCGCGCAUCAGCCACGGCGCGGUGAAUACGUUCCCGGGCCUUGUACACACCGCCCGUCAAGCCAUGGGAGCCGGGGGUACCUGAAGUACGUAACCGCAAGGAUCGUCCUAGGGUAAAACUGGUGACUGGG